UCCUGGCUCAGAACGAACGCUGGCGGCAGGCCUAACACAUGCAAGUCGAGCGAGACCUUCGGGUCUAGCGGCGGACGGGUGAGUAACGCGUGGGAACGUACCCUUCUCUACGGAAUAGUCCCGGGAAACUGGGUUUAAUACCGUAUACGCCCUUCGGGGGAAAGAUUUAUCGGAGAAGGAUCGGCCCGCGUUGGAUUAGGUAGUUGGUGGGGUAAUGGCCUACCAAGCCGACGAUCCAUAGCUGGUUUGAGAGGAUGAUCAGCCACACUGGGACUGAGACACGGCCCAGACUCC
rnacentral:rRNA from 1 species